rnacentral:sRNA from 1 species
UUUUAGCCUUGAUAGCAGUGAAAAGCCUUUAUGGACUGAAACUACUUUUUUCUUGUUGUGACAGAGCGACCAAAGGAAGCUCCUGCCACGACUUAGAAAAAGGGUUGAAGCCAGAAAGCUUAAAACAGAUAGCGAGAAAAGCU